AUUGAACGCUGGCGGCAUGCCUUACACAUGCAAGUCGAACGGCAGCACGGGUGCUUGCCCCUGGUGGCGAGUGGCGAACGGGUGAGUAAUACAUCGGAACAUGUCCUGUAGUGGGGGAUAGCCCGGCGAAAGCCGGAUUAAUACCGCAUACGAUCUACGGAUGAAAGCGGGGGACCUUCGGGCCUCGCGCUAUAGGGUUGGCAGAUGGCUGAUUAGCUAGUUGGUGGGGUAAAGGCCUACCAAGGCGACGAUCAGUAGCUGGUCUGAGAGGACGACCAGCCACACUGGGACUGAGACACGGCCCAGACUCCUACGGGAGGCAGCAGUGGGGAAUUUUGGACAAUGGGCGAAAGCCUGAUCCAGCAAUGCCGCGUGUGUGAAGAAGGCCUUCGGGUUGUAAAGCACUUUUGUCCGGAAAGAAAUCCUUGGCCCUAAUACGGUCGGGGGAUGACGGUACCGGAAGAAUAAGCACCGGCUAACUACGUG
rnacentral:rRNA from 1 species